rnacentral:rRNA from 1 species
AGAGUUUGAUCUUGGCUCAGGACGAACGCUGACGGUGUGCUUUAGGCAUGCAAGUCGAACGAGAAAGCCCUUCGGGGUGAGUAGAGUGGCGAACGGGUGAGUAACACGUGGGCAACCUGCCCCUCGCAGGGGGAUAACCGGAGGAAACUCCGGCUAAUACCCCGUACGCUCUCAGGGUCGCAUGGCCUUGUGAGGAAAGGUAGCUUCGGCCAUCCGGCGAGGGAUGGGCCCGCGGUGCAUUAGCUAGUUGGUGGGGUAACGGCCCACCAAGGCGACGAUGCGUAGCUGGUCUGAGAGGAUGAUCAGCCACACUGGGACUGAGACACGGCCCAGACUCCUACGGGAGGCAGCAGCCAGGAAUCUUGGGCAAUGGGCGCAAGCCUGACCCAGCAACACCGUGUGGGCGAUGAAGGCCUUCGGGUCGUAAAGCCCUGUUGAUAGGGACGAAGGGCGAAGGGUUAAUAGCCCCUAGCCUGACGGUACCUUUCGAGGAAGCCCCGGCUAACUACGUGCCAGCAGCCGCGGUAAUACGUAGGGGGCGAGCGUUGUCCGGAAUUAUUGGGCGUAAAGAGCGUGUAGGCGGUUCGGUAAGUCUGCCGUGAAAACCUGAGGCUCAACCUCGGGCGUGCGGUGGAUACUGCCGGGCUAGAGGACGGUAGAGGCGAGUGGAAUUCCCGGUGUAGCGGUGAAAUGCGCAGAUAUCGGGAGGAACACCAGUAGCGAAGGCGGCUCGCUGGGCCAUUCCUGACGCUGAGACGCGAAAGCUAGGGGAGCGAACAGGAUUAGAUACCCUGGUAGUCCUAGCCGUAAACGAUGGACACUAGGUGUGGGGGGAGUCGAAUCCCUCUGUGCCGCAGCCAACGCGUUAAGUGUUCCGCCUGGGGAGUACGGCCGCAAGGCUAAAACUCAAAAGAAUUGACGGGGGCCCGCACAAGCAGCGGAGCAUGUUCUUUAAUUCGAUGCAACGCGAAGAACCUUACCUGGACUUGACAUGGUGCUGCAAGCGCACGGAAACGUGUGACCUUCGAGGGUGCACCACAGAUGCUGCAUGGCUGUCGUCAGCUCGUGUCGUGAGAUGUUGGGUUAAGUCCCGCAAC